CCCAAGCAGGCAUCCUACUGCCAGCAAGGAACCCGACAUGGGGCUCAAACCUAUGGACCAUGAGAUAAUGCCUUGGGCCGAAAUCAAGAGUCAGACACUUAACCAACUGAGCCACCCAGCUGCUGCUAAAUCUACAUUAAUUAAAUACGGGUUAUACUCCAGGUUCUUGGCUAAAGGCUAUCCAUGCAAUAGAUACUAUUCCCAGUAAUCCUAUGGAUAGGUAGUAUUAUCAUGCAAUUUACAAAUGAGGAAACCGAGACUCUGAGGCUUACUAUCCUGACUGAGGUCAAAGAGCCCCAGGCCCAUCUGACAUAAUCAGAGCCCCUUUCCUGCCCUUGGCCAGGAAAGCCAGAGCUCUUCAUGAGGGUUGGACAGGGGAUGCGCUCCCCAGGGGUGUGUCUGAGUCAUAAACAGCUGGCAGUAGGUUGAGAAAUGAGUCUUCUGUGAAACAGAGCAAAAGGAAAUAUGGGUCAGGAGACAAUAAUCACUGUCAACCUUUGUGUGAAUGUGUGGUGUGGUGUGGGAGUCACGAAGGAUUCUAAAGUCGCACGGGAGGCUCGAGGCUGCCCACUGUCUCCAUUUAUGCCCUCCUCCCCCUGCUCCACCAAAUCGUCUCUAACAUGGUUCGCUUUCUGGUUAUCUCUGGCUUCUUCAGAUGAGAGGUGCUCAGUCACCCUGUGCUGGUGGGACAGGGAUACAGCUGUACCAGUGGAGAUGAGGAAACCUCUUCUCAGUGACUUUGAGUCUUUACACAGAGAACCCUACUCCAUAGUCAUUUGAAGUGAGCCUUGGGUCCUGGCCCCUUUUCUUGCCAGCUGGGUAAUGCCAUGUACGAAGAUGCCCUAGGGCCAGAGGCUGGGGAACCACUCCCAGCACCCCCCACAAGAUUAGGAGUGCUGACAGAAUUGCUUUUUCACAAACAGCCUUCCUGGCUCUUUGGCAAGAAAGCCCUCUCCCCAGCUCUGCUCCAUGGCGGCCUCCUGCAGAGCAUCCAUAACAUUGCUGAACUGUUCCCAUGGCAACAGAGGAAGGGGCUUUUUGUUUUCCUCAGAGGGUGGAAUCUUUUCAACCAGAAGGUGACUGUUGGCUCUGGCUCACAAUCUGCACUCCACCCCCUACCCUUGUUGGGCUGCAGGACGAGUUUUGCAGUUCUGGAGUUUUAAACAUAAUCAAAAGAGGUAUAGUAUGUGGAAACUGAGCCUGGGAGACUUAAGGAAGCAACUGGUCUCAAGUUUUCUCAGCGACCGUACAUCAGAACUAUGGGCGUCCAUUAAAGAAAUCCAGAGAUUUUUCCAAGCAAGGGGUCUGGGUGGCAUUGCAGCGGGAGACGCUCACCUGGACUCCCAUGGGUGUAGAGCAGGGAAGCUUUUUCAAAUUUCCCUUCUUUUCCAAGGCCAUGAUCAAGAUGAUGGGCAAAGAGAGCCUGGACCUGACCUCAUUUUCAGGUAAAUGGCCUCAGAUGACCUAUUUAAUCUCUCUAGGCCUUAGUUUUAUUUGACGAGGGAGUAUGAGAUAAGGGGCUCCUUUGGGGGGGGGGGUCUAAAAUGCAGUGCUCCUGAGUUGCUAGGGAGGAAAAAAAGAGACUUUUCUGAAUUGUUGCCAUGUUGCAGAUUCUGGGCUGCUCCAGAAUGAAGACCUUUCUUAGGGUACUUGACUUGUAAAUAGACCUUCUCCCCCUCUGCCUUUGUAUUUUAUAUAAAGGUGGUAAACGAAGCUCGUAAGCAGCCACAUGGGCAGAGAACACAGCAUAAAGGCCACCUCCAUCACGCCUGACCCCACGACAGGCACUGUGAACGGUGAACAUUUUGUGAACAUCUUCUGGACUGUGAACAUUUUGAGGCUGGGAAGCCGAGAUGAAGGUGCUGACAGAUUUGAUGUCUGGAGGGAGCAUGUUUCCAGAGGUGUAGACAGCCGCCUUCUCGCUGUUUCCUUGCAUGGUGGAGAAAGAAAGCUGUGGUGUCUCUUCCCCUUCUUAUAUGGGCACUGGUCCCAUGACGGAUGUUCCUCUCUCAUCACCUCAUCUAAACCCAGUUUACCACCCUCUCCCCCAUCACACACUUCCUAGUAUCACUUCGGGGAGUGUUAGACCUUCAACAUACGAAUUUUGAGGGGGAACACAAUCUAGUCCAUAACAAUGGGAUCCCCAGUGUUGCUUGACUAUAACAAGGCCCUCACAAAGUUCCCUAAUUCCCUAUAGAAACAUGAAGGCUUAGGGGAUCCAUAUAGGGGACAGCAGGUCAAAUUAUUCCCAUUUACCUAGUGAAGGAAUCAAUAUUCAGAAAACUGAGAGUGCUUUUACCCCUAAGGCAUGAGUGACUUAAGGGCAUCCUUGGAAAUCAAGCUUUUUAUCCAGUGCUCUUGUCGCUAGAGUGGAGGGAAGAAUACUGGUUUUGUGCCCAGAUUGUUGAUUUCCCAAAAGCAAAAUGUGUCACAUGGAAACGAUUCCCAACAAAAACCUUUGCACUUCCAUGAAAGAGUGGAGCUUCAGGACUUUACUGAGCAGUGUCCUGUAGGAUCCCUGCAUUGACAGCUCUUGAAUGUUCGAGAUAGCAUGAACUGCUCAGCAUUCCUUUCCCUUGGAGGUUUCAUAUGGUAGGAGAGUAAGUCUAAACUCAUUCCAGGUUGAAAUAUUUAAGGGAAGGAUAAUAUUUGAAUGGCUAUAUCCAAUAAAGCUAUAUUUUACUGUG